GAAGUUUAACAGACAAUCGCCGGUGCCGCGUAAGGCGGUACGGGAGGAAAGUCCGGGCUUCGCAGGGCGGGAUGCUGGAUAACGUCCAGUCAGCGCGAGCUGAAGGAUUAGUGCCACAGAAAUGGACCGCCGAUGGCCGCGCAAGCGGCACAGGCAAGGGUGGAACCGGAGUGUAAGAGACUCCGAGGGGCGCUGGCGACUUCGUCCCUGGUAAACCCCAUCCGAAGCAAGACCUAAUGAAACGCGGUUUCCGGCUUGUCCGGAAACGGCCCUUGCCCGGGGUGCGUUUAGGUUGGUCGCUCGAGCCGUUCAGCAAUGGACGGCCUAGACAGAUGAUUGUCGCUCAUAGCGGGAGGGUAGUUCCCGUCUGCACCGCAAAGCAGCACAGAACCCGGCUUACGGUAAGCUUCCCGA
rnacentral:RNase_P_RNA from 1 species